CUUCGUUUAAAGUGGCGUUCAUAUCUAUUGCUUAAUGCAAACAAAUUCAAAUUUUGGGAUUACCAAGUAGAAUUUUUCUUCUACAAUAUUCAUUAUUGUGUUUUUUUCUAUUUGAUAGCAAUAUGGACGACAUAUAUGAAUCUGAGAUAUCACUUGAUGUCAUGUAUCAGAAUGGAACAAAAACUGAUGAAAUAAAUGAAGAAAGAAAGGGGAUUUAUUAUCAACAGAAUAGGCCAUUAGACAGAGAAAUACAACCAGAUCAGACAGUUACAUAUAUUUGUACUCAACAGUUCAGAAAUAUAUCGGAAUGUGAUGAACUAAAGGAAGAAAUAAUUACCAGAAAUAAAUUCUCCCAACAAAAUCCUUCUGAUAGCAGAAGUCUUGCCCCCAAAGAAGAAAUAAGUUAUAACAUAGCAUUCGCAAAACCCGGAGAGUUUGUGUUAAAUGAAAGGAAGCUGAUAUCAACAGGUGAAGGGAAAAGUGGGGUCACGAAGAAAAGAUAUUUUUAUCAACAAAGUGAACCAAGAAGUAGACUUUUGAGUGCACAGGAGGAGAUUAUGCUACACCUCCCACUUGCACAACCUUUAAGCCUUGAAAUUGGACCAGUGUUAGAUGAGCCUUUUGCCCGUCGGAGGCCAGAUCAAAAGGAAUUAAUAAACUGCAAUAUUCCAAGGGUACCUUGUAUACUUAUAGAAAACAUGGCAGUAGAAUACAUUGGUCAUUUUGAACUGACCUCACCAAAGGAUAAUCAACUGGAAGAAUAUCGACCAGUCAUUUUAUUAAGUAGCAAAAAAAACGGCACUACCUUUGACAAGCUUGCAAAUAUAGCCCCUUCUAAACCAUCAGAGAAGAAAUCCAAGCCAGUUUCAAAACUGGCUAAACUGGCUAAACUCUACAGAUGCUGUGCUAAAGAUAAGAAGACUGCAGCAUGACAACAAAUGACCAGAAUGAGGUCAGUAGAUCUUUAAUAGAUGUAGAAAGGAUAAGAGAUAAUGGUAGUAUUUCACUGAUGAAAUGACUUUCCAAAUUCUUUUUUUUUUUUCUGAUUUGCUUUGAACAAAUUCCUAAUCAUCCAUUAUCAGAUACUACAUAAUAUAGGAACCAAAACCUACCGAAAGGGACAAUCCCAUUAAAUCCCAAAAUAUUUACUACAGUAGAUGUCUUUCUUCAAUUAUUGCAAAUUUCAGAAAGAGAAGUGCCAAUACGAAAACAAAAAGAAGUCUAUAGUGUUGAAUUAUUUCGGGUGUUUAUAUUUUCAGCAAUUAUAAAAAAAA